rnacentral:rRNA from 1 species
UACGCGGGGUGCAAGCGUUGCUCGGAAUUAUUGGGCGUAAAGGGUAGGUAGGUGGUCUCAUUUGUCUGGGGUGAAAGCCUUGAGCUUAACUCAAGAAGUGCCCCGGAAACGGUGAGACUGGAGUCCUGGAGAGGGUCGUGGAAUUCCCGGUGUAGCGGUGAAAUGCGUAGAGAUCCGGAAGAACACCAGUGGCGAAGGCGGCCCGCUGGGCAGUGGCUGACGCUGAGGCGCGACAGCGUGGGGAGCAAACAGG